rnacentral:ncRNA from 1 species
AUAUAUUCCAAAAUAUAAGGUAUAUUGAAGAAUAUAUAUAUAUAUNAAGAAAAUAACAAUGAUUCCCCUAGUAACGGCGAGUGAAGCGGGAAGAGCUCAAAGUGAAAAUCGUGAGUCCCUUAUUUGGCCUCACGAAUUGUAGCCUCUAGAGGCGUUGCCAGUGGGAGGGCAGGUCUAAGUUUCUUGGAACAGAACUUCAGAGAGGGUGACAGUCCCGUCCUUUGUCCUGCUCGAUGCUCCCACGUACGGU